ACUCAACUGCAUUUCUGUGAGCAGGGAGUCAAAACACGAAAGAACUGGACCUUUCAGCAGGAUUCAGCGCCUGCACAUAAAGCAAAAACCACACAACGCUGGUUAGAGGUCAAUUUACCUGAAUUUAUCGCCGCUCAAGAUUGGCCCUCGGGAAGUCCAGACCUCAAUCCUUUGGACUACAGACUGUGGAAUAUUUUAGAGGAGAAGGCCUGCUCUAAGCCCCAUCGAAAUAUCGAAUCAUUAAAAGCCGAUUUGGUAAAAUCAGCUGCCUCAAUACCGUUAGAAGUGGUGCGUGCUGUCAUAGACGAGUGGCCAGAUCGUUUGAAGAAGUGUAUAAAUGCAAAUGGUGGACAUUUUGAAUAGUAUUUAUUUUUUUUUAGUUAGUAAGUUAAUAAAGAAUAAAUAACAUCAGUUUUUUUA